CUUCAUCUACUCUCCAGAAACUGGCAUCAGUGUUAUAGAUGAUUUGGACGAACUGCAGAAAUAUCCCAAUGCUUUCAGUAUUCCAGAGGAAGCAGCUAAGAAAGCGCUCAACCAAAGUGCAGGAAGCGCUUUUAUGGGUGUUUUCCUCUUUCCCAACAUGUCAAAGGAUGCAGAGAAUAGUACGGUUUUGAAUGAUGAGGUUUAUGCAAUCGAAAUGGGGAC
rnacentral:lncRNA from 1 species